AUUCCAGCUCCAAUAGCGUAUAUUAAAGUUGUUGCGGUUAAAAAGCUCGUAGUUGGAUUUCUGCCGAGGAUGACCGGUCCGCCCUGUGGGUGUGCAUCUGGCUCAGCCUUGGCAUCUUCCUGAAGAACGUAGCUGCACUUGACUGUGUGGUGCGGUAUUUAGGACAUUUACUUUGAGGAAAUUAGAGUGUUUCAAGCAAGCGCACGCUUUGAAUACAUUAGCAUGGAAUAAUAAGAUAGGACCUUGGUUCUAUUUUGUUGGUUUCUAGAGCUGAGGUAAUGAUUGAUAGGGACAGUUGGGGGUAUUCGUAUUCCAUUGUCAGAGGUGAAAUUCUUGGAUUUAUGGAAGACGAACUACUGCGAAAGCAUUUACCAAGGAUGUUUUCAUCG
rnacentral:rRNA from 1 species